AUUGGAUAAUCUCGGCGGGAAAGCUUGGUCGAUGCUCGGCCUUCCGGAGCUCACGAAGGAGAUGUCGGUGUCGGACAACGAGAGAUCUGCGAUGGUGGAAGCGCGCAUUCCCCUGGCAUACGGCGACCUGUUUGACAGCGACACACGGUGAACACCCACAAAUCCAAUUCCUUCGAACUCUUUUUACCUUCUUCUUCUCCUUCUACGUCACAACAGUAAGCUUACUUGACGGAAUCGUCAUGCUUCAUGCUGUGUGUCUCCAGUGCCACCUCGCCUGGCCCUGCAAGUGUCGGCCAUUCUCUUCAGCCAGGCGCCUAGUAAAAGCAGGAAUGAUAAGUGGAAAAGGGGGCGGGGGGCGGGGAAGAGGAGACAAGACGCACCAUUGGGACC
rnacentral:lncRNA from 1 species